rnacentral:rRNA from 1 species
UGUGUGUUAGUGGAAGCGUCUGGAAAGGCGCGCGAUACAGGGUGACAGCCCCGUACACAAAAAUGCACAUGCUGUGAGCUCGAUGAGUAGGGCGGGACACGUGGUAUCCUGUCUGAAUAUGGGGGGACCAUCCUCCAAGGCUAAAUACUCCUGACUGACCGAUAGUGAACCAGUACCGUGAGGGAAAGGCGAAAAGAACCCCGGCGAGGGGAGUGAAAAAGAACCUGAAACCGUGUACGUACAAGCAGUGGGAGCCUCUUUUAUGGGGUGACUGCGUACCUUUUGUAUAAUGGGUCAGCGACUUAUAUUCUGUAGCAAGGUUAACCGAAUAGGGGAGCCGAAGGGAAACCGAGUCUUAACUGGGCGUUAAGUUGCAGGGUAUAGACCCGAAACCCGGUGAUCUAGCCAUGGGCAGGUUGAAGGUUGGGUAACACUAACUGGAGGACCGAACCGACUAAUGUUGAAAAAUUAGCGGAUGACUUGUGGCUGGGGGUGAAAGGCCAAUCAAACCGGGAGAUAGCUGGUUCUCCCCGAAAGCUAUUUAGGUAGCGCCUCGUGAAUUCAUCUCCGGGGGUAGAGCACUGUUUCGGCAAGGGGGUCAUCCCGACUUACCAACCCGAUGCAAACUGCGAAUACCGGAGAAUGUUAUCACGGGAGACACACGGCGGGUGCUAACGUCCGUCGUGAAGAGGGAAACAACCCAGACCGCCAGCUAAGGUCCCAAAGUCAUGGUUAAGUGGGAAACGAUGUGGGAAGGCCCAGACAGCCAGGAUGUUGGCUUAGAAGCAGCCAUCAUUUAAAGAAAGCGUAAUAGCUCACUGGUCGAGUCGGCCUGCGCGGAAGAUGUAACGGGGCUAAACCAUGCACCGAAGCUGCGGCAGCGACGCUUAUGCGUUGUUGGGUAGGGGAGCGUUCUGUAAGCCUGUGAAGGUGUGCUGUGAGGCAUGCUGGAGGUAUCAGAAGUGCGAAUGCUGACAUAAGUAACGAUAAAGCGGGUGAAAAGCCCGCUCGCCGGAAGACCAAGGGUUCCUGUCCAACGUUAAUCGGGGCAGGGUGAGUCGACCCCUAAGGCGAGGCCGAAAGGCGUAGUCGAUGGGAAACAGGUUAAUAUUCCUGUACUUGGUGUUACUGCGAAGGGGGGACGGAGAAGGCUAUGUUGGCCGGGCGACGGUUGUCCCGGUUUAAGCGUGUAGGCUGGUUUUCCAGGCAAAUCCGGAAAAUCAAGGCUGAGGCGUGAUGACGAGGCACUACGGUGCUGAAGCAACAAAUGCCCUGCUUCCAGGAAAAGCCUCUAAGCAUCAGGUAACAUCAAAUCGUACCCCAAACCGACACAGGUGGUCAGGUAGAGAAUACCAAGGCGCUUGAGAGAACUCGGGUGAAGGAACUAGGCAAAAUGGUGCCGUAACUUCGGGAGAAGGCACGCUGAUAUGUAGGUGAAGCGACUUGCUCGUGGAGCUGAAAUCAGUCGAAGAUACCAGCUGGCUGCAACUGUUUAUUAAAAACACAGCACUGUGCAAACACGAAAGUGGACGUAUACGGUGUGACGCCUGCCCGGUGCCGGAAGGUUAAUUGAUGGGGUCAGCGCAAGCGAAGCUCUUGAUCGAAGCCCCGGUAAACGGCGGCCGUAACUAUAACGGUCCUAAGGUAGCGAAAUUCCUUGUCGGGUAAGUUCCGACCUGCACGAAUGGCGUAAUGAUGGCCAGGCUGUCUCCACCCGAGACUCAGUGAAAUUGAACUCGCUGUGAAGAUGCAGUGUACCCGCGGCAAGACGGAAAGACCCCG